rnacentral:lncRNA from 1 species
GCCAGCAAACGUUAUCGUUUGAUGCUACACUAAGCAAGGCCGACCGUGCACUACUCAAGCGCCAAAGAAACGCAAUAGAAUGCCGGCCGUCUGCUUCGGUCGAAAGCAGACUGGGCAUGGAGGAAAUGAGGUGGGAGUCGCACAUUGCGCUGAUGUAGGCACCGCGGCACUUGAAGUCCGAGCCCCAGAGUGCCAGUUUAUCCUUUGUUUAGAAUACAACGCAUCACAGUGUGAUGUUUAUUCGUGCGCCCUUAUUUAUUCUUUUCUCUCAUUUAAGCCGUGCAGACCAAGCCGUAGCAAUGUCAUUGCAUGGCGAGGUGGUCAGCGCGUCUGUGCUCGGCUGCCCUGGCGUGGUCAGCCUGGAGUCUGGCUGUGUGGAACCAGUACAAAUCAAGCUCACAACAUUCGCCCCUAGCGCAAGCCCCGAGGAUCGGAGGCAGACGUCAUCUCCAUGCAUUUGUGCGCCCUCUACUGUGAUACAGACACGAAGGUCUUCACGCUCACAGGACAUAUACUGCACUGGUGGGGAGUCGCCGAUCACUGCCACGUGAAUGACGAGAGAGCAGGAGGGUUUAUGCCCAGUCCAAGUAAACAGAACGCCGAGUGGAUGUCCGUGAUGAGGACUUCAGUGACGUUUCGGCAGUCCUGCUUAUUCCCCUUUUUUCCCACAAGAUGGCGACGUCUCUUCCCAAAGGUUGCGU